rnacentral:lncRNA from 1 species
GUCCAUGAGACCCUUUCUGUGGAGAUCCUGAAAGCGAAUAGCCUCCACAGUGACUUCCGAAUGGCUCUUCCUCAGCCGGUGAAGUUCAUCAUCCAACUUCUUUGAUUUCUUCAUCAAGUGAUGAAUUUUCCUUUUGAGGUCCCAGAUCAUCAACUUUAGAGCGAUCCCCUGUGGUAGGGGAAGAGCUUCGACAGGGCACUGUCAUUGGGAGACAAGAGCGCCAC